rnacentral:rRNA from 1 species
GGUCUGACUAUGGCUCAGAUUGAACGCUGGCGGGAUGUUUUACACAUGCAAGUCGAACGGCAGCACGGACUUCGGUCUGGUGGCGAGUGGCGAACGGGCAGUAAUGUAUCGGAACGUGCCUAGUAUGGGGAUAACUACGCGAAAGCGUAGCUAAUAUCGUACAUUGCCACUUUUCUGGGGAGUGGGGACCUUUCGGGCCUCUUGCACUAUUAGAGCGCCUAUCGGAUUAGCUAGUUGGUGGGGCAACGGCUCACCAAGGCGACGAUCCGUAGCUGUCAGGAGAGACGACCAGCCACACUGGACUAGAGACACGGCCCAGACUCCUACGGAGGCAGGCAGUGGGGAAUUUUGGAGCAUUUGGGAAACUUGAUCCAAAGCCAUCCCGGCGUGCGAUGAAGGCCUUCGGGCUGUGUGCCACUUUUUGGCAGGAAAGAAACGGGCACGGGAUAAUACCCUGUGCAACUGACGCUAUACUCUUACAGAAUAAGCACCGGCUAACUACGUGCCAGCAGCCGCGGUAAUACGUAGGGUGCGUUAAUCGGAAUUACCGGGCGAAGCGUGCGCAGGCGGGUUCGAAAGAAAGAUGUGAAAUCCCAGAGCUUAACUUUGGAACUGCAUUUUUAACUACUGAGCGAGUGUGUCAGAGGGAGGUGGAAUUCCGCGUGUAGCAGUGAAAUGCGUAGAUAUGCGGAGGAACACCGAUGGCGAAGGCAGUCUCCUGGGAUAACACUGACGCUCAUGCACGAAAGCGUGGGGAGCAAACAGGAUUAGAUACCCUGUAGUCCACGCCCUAAACGAUGUCAACUAGCUGUUGGGCCUUCGGGCCGUAUGCAGCCAGGUCGCGUGAAGUUGACCGCCUGGGGAGUACGGUCGCAAGAUUAAACUCAAAGGAAUUGACGGGACUCCGCACAAGCGGUGGAUGAUGUGGAUUAAUUUGAUGCAACGCGAAAACCUUACCUACCCUUGACAUGUCUGGAAUCCCGAAGUAUUCUGAGUGCUCGCAAGAGAACCGAACAGAAAGCCGCAUGGCUGUCGUCAGCGUCAGGCCGUGAGAUGGUUGGGUUAAGUCCUGCAACGAGCGCAACCUCGCGGUCAUUAGUUGCUGAAAGGGCACUCUAAUGAGACUGCCGGUGACAAACCGGAGGAAGGUGGGAAGACGUCAAGUCCUCAUGGCCCUUAUGGGUAGGCUGACGUCAAGGGCUAAUGGUCGGGACAGAGGGUCGCCAACCCGCGAGGGGGAGCCAAUCCCAGAAACCCGAUCGUAGUCCGGAUCGCAGUCUGCCUCGACUGCGGAAGUCGGAAUCAUGAGUAAUCGCGGAUCAGCAUGUCGCGGAAUACGUUCCUGGUCUUGGUACACACCGCCCGUCACACCAUGGGAGUGGGCUUUACCAGAUGCAGUUAGUCGAAUCCGUAAGGAGGGCGAUUACCACGGUAGGAUUCAUGACUGGGGUGAAGUCGUAACAAGGUAA